UCGACUUUGAUAGAGAGAAGUAGUCCUAUGAGAUUUGAAAGGCUAGGUCUAAAAAUCUGUGGGCACAAUAGUAUAAUUGAUGGAAAAGAGUUUUCAUAGAAAUCAUAAUUAGACUUGAGCUGAUCGAUUCUAUCAUGUGACUGAUGUUGAGGUUUGAUGAUUUAUUCAUGAUAUGCCAUCUAGUCAGGACACAUGAUAGAGGGACUAACAUAC
rnacentral:lncRNA from 1 species